UCCCUCUUAGCUCAGUUGGUAGAGCGCGUCACUAGUAUCCACGUGCUGUUGGCUUACGCAAUGACGAGGUCAGUCGUUCAAAUCGGCUAGCGGGAA
rnacentral:tRNA from 1 species